UACGGGGGGGGGCAAGCGUUGUUCGGAAUUACUGGGCGUAAAGGGCUCGUAGGCGCCAAACUAAGUCAGACGUGAAAUCCCCCGGCUUAACCGAGGAACUGCGUCUGAUACUGGAUGGCUUGAGUUCGGGAGAGGGAUGCGGAAUUCCAGGUGUAGCGGUGAAAUGCGUAGAUAUCUGGAGGAACACCGGUGGCGAAGGCGGCAUCCUGGACCGACACUGACGCUGAUGAGCGAAAAGCCAGGGGAGCAAACGGG
rnacentral:rRNA from 1 species